rnacentral:rRNA from 1 species
ACGCUCGACACCUACGGGAGGCAGCAGUGGGGAAUAUUGCACAAUGGGGGAAACCCUGAUGCAGCGACGCCGCGUGGAGGAAGAAGGUCUUCGGAUUGUAAACUCCUGUUGUUGGGGAAAAAGAGGAUGGUACCCAACAAGGAAGUGACGGCUAACUACGUGCUAGCAACCGCGGUAAUCUGAGCGGGCUGGCAAGGC